UGUACGCCUGCAGCCCAAGUCGCACCCCCCACGUUCUCCAUCCCUACACGCAACCUCUUCCUCUCCUCCGCAUCUUCCAGGCUACAGCAGAGGGCAGUCAAGGGGGCGAGCAGGAUGGGUCCAGCCGAUUUCUUCGCCGGAUCUGGAGCCUAAGGGCGACGCCGACGAGCACGCAGCCACGCCAACAUUGUUGCCUCGAGAGAGGAGUGGGUGGGAGGAGAAGGCGGCGGCUCGAGGGCAAGGUGGGUCGGGGGCAAGGGGUCAGAGCUUCUCGCCUGAUUCAUGGCCGUGUUGAUGCUGCAUGGAAGCAUUGGAAGCGAAAAAAAAUCUACACAUACCUAAAUUACUACUUUCAGGUGGAAUACGCAGAGAACAAUUUGAAGGAGUACAUCCACAGAGACGAUGAUACCCUACCAGUCAAGCUUGGAGAUGGACCACCAUCACGACGAUCGCUUCAUGCUUGGAACUGACAAGAGGGCCACCAUCACGAUGAACUAAUCAUAGUUUCGCCACCACCCGAACAUUCAGCAAGGUGACAUCUGCACCUUCCUUUUCAAGCACAAGCAAGGGCGCCGCCUCUCUCUCAUGUGCACUGUCUCUAGACACACCACCGUCAGCCGCAGCUAUCGCCUAUACAUAUGAUCCAUGUAUGGUCUUUAGUUUCUCUCUUAAGACUUAAUAUGCAUGUGCUCUGAUGACCCAAUGAACUAUGUAUUUAGUUUCUCUCUAAGACUUAAUAUGCAUGUGCUCUGAUUAUCCAG